GUAACAGGUUGAGGAGCAUAAAUAGGGAGACUGGGAGUUCAGUCUUCAUUCCAGUUUUGGAUCCUUAUGCAUGCAGACCUAUAGGACGUUUUGCUGGCACAAUAAUUGAUCCAUUUAAAAUUCAUUAUCUUCUAUGAAUGAUGCAGCAUUUUUCAAAAUAGAGAGCUGCUUUUUAAAAAACACCUCUGAAGAAGUCACUAUAAGACGUUGGAUGAAAGCUCCUUUCUUUUUCAAUUUUCUUUACAUGAAUAAUGUUGAAUCACACAACUGUAUUUUCGAUGUAAAAGAUGUUUAUUAUCAAUUCAUUUUAAUACAAAUGUGAAUUUAAAUUAUAUUCUUAUAAUAAAGACAUAUGUGUUUUAA